GGACAGGUGCCCCUCCGGGAGGACAGUUUCGGAGGCGGAAACCUGCAGGUCCACUAAAAGACAGACGCCUCAAUAUAAAGUUGGAUAUUCAGUCGUAUUUUUAUUUUUUUAAAUCAGAGAAUCACUGAAACAACGAGUUAUGAGAACGAAUCAAAUUAUUUUUUUAAACCGUGGAAAGAGAAUGAGUGGAGAUAGCUUGAGCUGAGAAUCCGUGUGUAUAAAGGUAGACGCACUUUUAAGACGCACAACAUAAUAGCCGUUUCAACUGAUUCCACAAGAUAUCAGCCAUGGAUUUUUAACAUCAACACGGACUAAAGUUCGUUCUUGAAGAGGUCCGAUCCGCUCCACUCCGACCCUGUCCCAUACCAGUCCGUAUAGUGCAGGUAGAAGAUGGCAGAGAGAGUGACUUGGUGGAGAGCGUUUAUGGGGAGCAGUAAGACGAUUAGUAGUGGUACCAAGGACAUCACCCCAGCUACCCAGAUCCCAGACACAGUGAAGGACCCUCUGACGCCCCGCACACAGGGAAUCCAAGCUACACCACACUCAGCAGCCCCCAAACUCCCAACCAAUCAACAGCCACCAGCAUCACCACAACAACCAGCAUCACAGCAGCCACAGGCACCAGUCAGUACAGGCACCAGCCUCUUCAGCGACGAGACCUUCGAUGACUCCCAGUUUGAGUCGGUCUUCAACGAACAUACUUGUCGUAGGAACCUGAGGGUGUCUCGGUCAGGCCGGUUUAAGGAGAAGAAGAGGGUACGCUCCAGUCUUCCUACUGGGAAAGAGGACGUACGAUAACGAGGAUGGUGAUGAUGAGGGAGAUAGUGGCCAAAAGACUGCUCUUACUUCUGAACUUUAUUUCAACACGGCCGUCCGUUCUGGGGGAAAAGGAAGGUAGAUGAAGAUGAAUUGUAAGUUGAAGAUAAGUUGAGGGUAGAGUUGAAGAUAAGUUGAAGAUAAGUUGAGGGUAGAGUUGAGGGUAAGUUGAAGAUAAGUCAAAGAUAAGUUGAAGAUAAGUUGAAGAUAAGUUGAAGAUAGUGAUUUGAGACCUUGACUUUACUCUUUGGAACCCUUUUGUCAGUACUAGAGAGUCUGUCUGUUCCGCUGCUGCUGCUUCUUCAUCAAUCAACAUGAGAUUCAUUUCAUUGAUUUUGAUUUAUUGAUCCCUUAUGGGAAGCUGAACAUUAUUUAAUCAACUUUUUAACCCUUGAAAAUGAAUAACUUAAGCUGUGUUUCCCAUCACAAAGAAAGUGAACUGAUACUCUUCUCUACCUCCUGUCUUGUUACAUUAUAAUGGACUGCUGAUUGGCAGUAGUGAAAGUUUCUCCGUGACAGCUAGGUAGGUACUUACCAGUCCUUCCUUGAGGAAAAUCACAGGUCUGACAAGGUUUGAUUGAUUUAAAGCAAUAGGAAGACAAGUGUGUCUUUACUAAUCCAAUCCCGUAAAGAUCAGUGGUUAGGCUACUUCAAGGAAGGAAAGAAGGGAGGAAUGAAGGAAGGAAGGACCAUUUUCUGUAAGAAGUACCACCUUUCAGCUUUAAAAACUAUCCAGACUUUUCUAGCCUUUUUUGUUGUUGUAUCAAAACAGUAUACUGAAAAUGAGACACACACACACACACAGCUACGCACAUUCCAGGAAAUGAUACGCUGUUUAUAAGAUGUUUACAUAUAUAUGUGUAAUAUUCAGAAUAUGAAGGAUAUAAUAUUGUUUUUACCAAUCAAUGUUGUUGUUUUGUUUAUUUAAAAAAAAAUAUGAUUACAGUGGGUUAGAAGGGUACUUUAAAAAAAAAAAUUUAAAGAGGUGGGAUUGCUUGAAUGAAUGAGCAUUGGUGUUUGUGACGGACAGGUGAAAAUAUAAGAUUAUAUCCACUAGCUGCUAUUCGGUUACAUACAGGCACACGUUUUAGAGGGAAACAUCACCAUCUGGAGCAAAUCCUGAUAGAAGAUGCUAUUAGAAGCUAAACAGUAAGGUGUUAUAGAUAUAUAUAAUCCUGAUAGAAGAUGCUAUUAGAAGCUAAACACUAAGGUGUUAUAGAUAUAUAUAAUCCUGAUAGAAGAUGCUAUUAGAAGCUAAACACUAAGGUGUUAUAGAUAUAUAUAAUCCUGAUAGAAGAUGCUAUUAGAAGUUAAACACUAAGGUGUUAUAGAUAUAUAUAAUCCUGAUAGAAGAUGCUAUUAGAAGCUAAACAGUAAGGUGUUAUAGAUAUAAUCCUGAUAGAAGAUGCUAUUAGAAGCUAAACAGUAAGGUGUUAUAAAUAUAUAUAAUCCUGAUAGAAGAUGCUAUUAGAAGCUAAACAUUAAGGUGUUAUACAUUUAUAUAAUCCUGAUAGAAGAUACUAUUAUAAACUAAACGGUAAGGUGUUCUAAAGUCUGUCUAUUCAGUAAUACAGUGAUUGACAUCACUGUGCUUCAAGUGAACGUGACACAUACACCAUGGUCUGUAAAUACUGCAAUGAAGGCUAAACAUGAUUGUUGUAAUGACAGAAGAACAAAUAAACG
rnacentral:lncRNA from 1 species